rnacentral:rRNA from 1 species
GACGAACGCUGGCGGCGUGCUUAACACAUGCAAGUCGAGCGGUAAGGCCCUUUCGGGGGUACACGAGCGGCGAACGGGUGAGUAACACGUGGGUGACCUGCCUCUAGCUCUGGGAUAAGCCUGGGAAGCUGGGUCUAAUACCGGAUAUGACCUCGCGGUGCAUGUUGCGGGGUGGAAAGCCUUGUGCGGCUAGGGGAUGGGCCCGCGGCCUAUCAGCUUGUUGGUGGGGUGANGGCCUACCAAGGCGACGACGGGUAGCCGGCCUGAGAGGGCGACCGGCCACACUGGGACUGAGACACGGCCCAGACUCCUACGGGAGGCAGCAGUGGGGAAUCUUGCGCAAUGGGCGAAAGCCUGACGCAGCGACGCCGCGUGAGGGAUGACGGCCUGGUGUAAC